UUGUGGAGGAGGACGCCGAAGGUGUGGCUAAUGACUGGGGUGAAGUCGUAACAAGGUAGCCGUACCGGAAGGUGUGGCUGGAUCACCUCCUAACAGGGAGACAACAAAAUGUAAAUAUUAAUUUUGUCACCUUAGGUCGAUCGGUAUCUCAGAUUCUUAUUUUUUAAGAAUUUCAGUUUCUAAGUUUUUUCUAGGUCACACCCAUCACUUUUUCCUGGGCCAUUAGCUCAGGUGGUUAGAGCGCACCCCUGAUAAGGGUGAGGUCCCUGGUUCAAGUCCAGGAUGGCCCAUAUCUCUCUAUGUUGGGGGUAUAGCUCAGUUGGUAGAGCGCCUGCUUUGCAAGCAGGAUGUCAGCGGUUCGAGUCCGCUUACCUCCACUGAAUACCACCUCUUCCAUAAUAUAUUGAAGGGAAAUUUCUUUGAGUUGUGAUCAAAUUCUGAACGAAUCUAGCUUCCUAAUGAGAUCAUUAAGAUGCUGGACUCAUUGAAUUAUUUCAUUGUUUUCAGAGAACCUUGACAACUGCAUAGAUUAUUUUUAAAGACAAUAAGCAUCUCUAAUGAUGCAGAUUUAUUAUUUGUGCGAAUGCAUUAAAUAACAAUUCUAUUAAGCUGAUGCUUCAAUAUGAAGUUAUUGGUCAAGCUACAA
rnacentral:misc_RNA from 1 species